UAGGGAAUCUUCGGCAAUGGGGGGAACCCUGACCGAGCAACGCCGCGUGAGUGAAGAAGGUUUUCGGAUCGUAAAGCUCUGUUGUUAAGGAAGAACGAGUGUGAGAAUGGAAAGUUCAUACUGUGACGGUACUUAACCAGAAAGGGACGGCUAACUACGUGCCAGCAGCCGCGGUAAUACGUAGGUCCCGAGCGUUGUCCGGAUUUAUUGGGCGUAAAGCGAGCGCAGGCGGUUAGAUAAGUCUGAAGUUAAAGGCAGUGGCUCAACCAUUGUAGGCUUUGGAAACUGUUUAACUUGAGUGCAGAAGGGGAGAGUGGAAUUCCAUGUGUAGCGGUGAAAUGCGUAGAUAGAUGGAGGAACACCGGUGGCGAAAGCGGCUCUCUGGUCUGUAACUGACGCGGAGGCUCGAAAGCGUGGGGAGAGAACAGG
rnacentral:rRNA from 1 species